CCUACGGGAGGCAGCAGUGAGGAAUAUUGGUCAAUGGGCGCGAGCCUGAACCAGCCAAGUCGCGUGAGGGAAGACGGUCCUAUGGAUUGUAAACCUCUUUUGUCGGGGAGCAAAAGACGCCACGCGUGGCGUUCCGAGAGUACCCGAAGAAAAAGCAUAGGCUAACUCCGUGCCAGCAGCCGCGGUAAUACGGAGGAUGCGAGCGUUAUCCGGAUGUAUUGGGUUUAAAGGGUGCGCAGGCGGAAGAUCAAGGCAGCGGUAAAAUUGAGAGGCUCAACCUCUUCGAGCCGUUGAAACUGGUUUUCUUGAGUGAGUGAGAAGUAUGCGGAAUGCGUGGUGUAGCGGUGAAAUGCAUAGAUAUCACGCAGAACUCCGAUUGCGAAGGCAGCAUACCGGCGCUCAACUGACGCUCAUGCACGAAAGUGUGGGUAUCGAACAGGAUUAGAUACCCCAGUAGUC
rnacentral:rRNA from 1 species